rnacentral:rRNA from 1 species
CUGGCGGCAGGCCUAACACAUGCAAGUCGAGCGGAAACGAGUUAUCUGAACCUUCGGGGAACGAUAACGGCGUCGAGCGGCGGACGGGUGAGUAAUGCCUAGGAAAUUGCCCUGAUGUGGGGGAUAACCAUUGGAAACGAUGGCUAAUACCGCAUGAUGCCUACGGGCCAAAGAGGGGGACCUUCGGGCCUCUCGCGUCAGGAUAUGCCUAGGUGGGAUUAGCUAGUUGGUGAGGUAAGGGCUCACCAAGGCGACGAUCCCUAGCUGGUCUGAGAGGAUGAUCAGCCACACUGGAACUGAGACACGGUCCAGACUCCUACGGGAGGCAGCAGUGGGGAAUAUUGCACAAUGGGCGCAAGCCUGAUGCAGCCAUGCCGCGUGUGUGAAGAAGGCCUUCGGGUUGUAAAGCACUUUCAGUCGUGAGGAAGGUGGUGUAGUUAAUAGCUGCAUCGUUUGACGUUAGCGACAGAAGAAGCACCGGCUAACUCCGUGCCAGCAGCCGCGGUAAUACGGAGGGUGCGAGCGUUAAUCGGAAUUACUGGGCGUAAAGCGCAUGCAGGUGGUUUGUUAAAGUCAGAUGUGAAAGCCCGGGGCUCAACCUCGGAAUUGCAUUUGAAACUGGCAGACUAGAGUACUGUAGAGGGGGGUAGAAUUUCAGGUGUAGCGGUGAAAUGCGUAGAGAUCUGAAGGAAUACCGGUGGCGAAGGCGGCCCCCUGGGACAGAUACUGACACUCAGAUGCGAAAGCGUGGGGAGCAAACAGGAUUAGAUACCCUGGUAGUCCACGCCGUAAACGAUGUCUACUUGGAGGUUGUGGCCUUGAGCCGUGGCUUUCGGAGCUAACGCGUUAAGUAGACCGCCUGGGGAGUACGGUCGCAAGAUUAAAACUCAAAUGAAUUGACGGGGGCCCGCACAAGCGGUGGAGCAUGUGGUUUAAUUCGAUGCAACGCGAAGAACCUUACCUACUCUUGACAUCCAGAGAACUUUCCAGAGAUGGAUUGGUGCCUUCGGGAACUCUGAGACAGGUGCUGCAUGGCUGUCGUCAGCUCGUGUUGUGAAAUGUUGGGUUAAGUCCCGCAACGAGCGCAACCCUUAUCCUUGUUUGCCAGCGAGUAAUGUCGGGAACUCCAGGGAGACUGCCGGUGAUAAACCGGAGGAAGGUGGGGACGACGUCAAGUCAUCAUGGCCCUUACGAGUAGGGCUACACACGUGCUACAAUGGCGCAUACAGAGGGCAGCCAACUUGCGAAAGUGAGCGAAUCCCAAAAAGUGCGUCGUAGUCCGGAUUGGAGUCUGCAACUCGACUCCAUGAAGUCGGAAUCGCUAGUAAUCGUGGAUCAGAAUGCCACGGUGAAUACGUUCCCGGGCCUUGUACACACCGCCCGUCACACCAUGGGGAGUGGGCUGCAAAAGAAGUAGGUAGUUUAACCUUCGGGGGGACGCUUACCACUUUGUGGUCAUGAUGGGUACG